UUAUAUGGAAUGAUAUUUCGAUUCCUGAAUUUAACAAACAUUUGAUUCUGUUAUGUGUAGUGUUCUGAUUGGUUCAUGUGUAAAAGAAUUUUAAAAACAAAAAUGAUGCAGAAAUACAAGGGUUAUAUGGAAUUCAUUUUGCAGGUUUCAUUUUGGGUUUCAGAAAAUAGAAUUUCAUUUUGGUUUGGGAAGAGAACUCCCUCCACCACCUCAUUUUCUUUCUACACUUUCCCAAUUUUUUUUUAAAUUCCAAUUUUACCUUUUUUACUUUUGCUUUUAUCUAUUUUGCUUUCUAUUUUUUAAAACCCUAAUCUCAAUUCUCUCUCACUUUCACUUACUCAGUCACAAGCACCCCCCUCCCACCCCCACCCCACAUCCUCUCUCCCCUCUCACUUUCUCUCUUUCUCUUAAUUUUCACUUCCGUUAACACAACAUUCACCAUUUUCGUUUCUUCUUU
rnacentral:lncRNA from 1 species